AGUGUUUGGUAUGAGGUAAUGAGAGAAGGAAUGGAAUUAACCAUUCAGGGGUAAUACAAAUAGGAAUGUUUGGUUGCUAAAAGGAAAGGAAUAACCCAUUACUUACCUUAUUCCAUUCCCUCUAAAUAUGGCAAAAAGUAUUCCAGCGACCCCCCCUAUUUUUUUUUCAUUCCGUUCGGAAUAGAUAAGAGACUUCUCAAUUUUGCCCUCAUCCUCACCUAUUUUCCCUCGCUGAUUCGUUUCCUCUAAUCAAGGAUCUCUGGUUAUAUAUUUCUUUCAUCUUCAUCAGCAAGCAGAGCUUCAGCAUUUGAGCCCUAAAUCACCAGUUACUUGUUUGGAUUUUCGUCAUCAAACACAAAACCAGUUAUGGAAUCACAGCUCGAUUCUGAAAGGGGCCCAGGAAAAAA